rnacentral:rRNA from 1 species
UUUGAUCCUGGCUCAGAUUGAACGCUGGCGGCAUGCCUUACACAUGCAAGUCGAACGGCAGCACGGGAGCAAUCCUGGUGGCGAGUGGCGAACGGGUGAGUAAUACAUCGGAACGUUCCCAAUCGUGGGGGAUAACGCAGCGAAAGCUGUACUAAUACCGCAUAAGAUCUACGGAUGAAAGCAGGGGACCGCAAGGCCUUGCGCGAAUGGAGCGGCCGAUGGCAGAUUAGGUAGUUGGUGGGGUAAAGGCUCACCAAGCCUUCGAUCUGUAGCUGGUCUGAGAGGACGACCAGCCACACUGGGACUGAGACACGGCCCAGACUCCUACGGGAGGCAGCAGUGGGGAAUUUUGGACAAUGGGCGCAAGCCUGAUCCAGCCAUGCCGCGUGCAGGAUGAAGGCCUUCGGGUUGUAAACUGCUUUUGUACGGAACGAAAAGGCUCUUUCUAAUAAAGGGGGCUCAUGACGGUACCGUAAGAAUAAGCACCGGCUAACUACGUGCCAGCAGCCGCGGUAAUACGUAGGGUGCAAGCGUUAAUCGGAAUUACUGGGCGUAAAGCGUGCGCAGGCGGUGAUGUAAGACAGUUGUGAAAUCCCCGGGCUCAACCUGGGAACUGCAUCUGUGACUGCAUCGCUGGAGUGCGGCAGAGGGGGAUGGAAUUCCGCGUGUAGCAGUGAAAUGCGUAGAUAUGCGGAGGAACACCGAUGGCGAAGGCAAUCCCCUGGGCCUGCACUGACGCUCAUGCACGAAAGCGUGGGGAGCAAACAGGAUUAGAUACCCUGGUAGUCCACGCCCUAAACGAUGUCAACUGGUUGUUGGGUCUUCACUGACUCAGUAACGAAGCUAACGCGUGAAGUUGACCGCCUGGGGAGUACGGCCGCAAGGUUGAAACUCAAAUGAAUUGACGGGGACCCGCACAAGCGGUGGAUGAUGUGGUUUAAUUCGAUGCAACGCGAAAAACCUUACCCACCUUUGACAUGUACGGAAUUUGCCAGAGAUGGCUUAGUGCUCGAAAGAGAGCCGUAACACAGGUGCUGCAUGGCUGUCGUCAGCUCGUGUCGUGAGAUGUUGGGUUAAGUCCCGCAACGAGCGCAACCCUUGUCAUUAGUUGCUACAUUUAGUUGGGCACUCUAAUGAGACUGCCGGUGACAAACCGGAGGAAGGUGGGGAUGACGUCAAGUCCUCAUGGCCCUUAUAGGUGGGGCUACACACGUCAUACAAUGGCUGGUACAAAGGGUUGCCAACCCGCGAGGGGGAGCUAAUCCCAUAAAGCCAGUCGUAGUCCGGAUCGCAGUCUGCAACUCGACUGCGUGAAGUCGGAAUCGCUAGUAAUCGUGGAUCAGAAUGUCACGGUGAAUACGUUCCCGGGUC